CACGUAGGGGGCAAGCGUUGUCCGGAUUUAUUGGGCGUAAAGAGCGUGUAGGCGGCCAUUCAGGUCAGCUGUGAAAACUCGAGGCUCAACCUCGAGACGCCGGUGGAAACCGUAAGGCUAGAGUCCGGAAGAGGAGAGUGGAAUUCCUGGUGUAGCGGUGAAAUGCGCAGAUAUCAGGAGGAACACCCAGUGGCGAAAGGCAG
rnacentral:rRNA from 1 species